CAGAGAGCUUUAGUGGAAGAAAGGUUGGAGAUCUGUAUUCUGACAGUAUCGGUCUUCUUCUUCUUCAGUGUUUUUUUUUGUAGGCGUUGAUAAGACAUCAAUAUAAUUGGAGAAGAAGAAAGGAGGAGGAAUAAUGGUUUGAGUUUGGUUUUGUUGUCUGAUUAUAGUGUGUUUGAGUUUGGUUUUGUUGUCUGAUUAAAAAGUGUUUUUGUGUCUUGGUAUGUUGCAUAUUUAUAGAGAAGCUAUCGCGGUACCGUAACGGCUAUAUUUCUCUCAAGUUUUGAGUCUGUUUCGAUCGCCACAAAACGCGUGCACUCUCUCCUAACGUUCUAGACAAUUUGCGGGGUUGAACAUGAAGCAAACACAUUAUGUAAUAAUAAUGCAGCAUACUCGGUUAUGUGGAGUUUCAAAUGUAUACAUUUCACGUAAAAGUAAACAGCUUCUUUAAUUCU